UUUAGGAGGGCGCGGCCGAAGGUAGGGUCAGCGAUUGGGGUGAAGUCGUAACAAGGUAGCCGUAGGAGAACCUGCGGCUGGAUCACCUCCUUU
rnacentral:rRNA from 1 species